CGGACGGGUGAGUAACGCGUAGAUAAUCUACCUUAAAGACUGGGACAACAGUUGGAAACGACUGCUAAUACCGGAUAAGCUAAACGGAAGGCAUCUUCUGUUUAGGAAAGGAGGCCUCUUAACAAUGCUCCCGCUUUUAGAUGAGUCUGUGUCUGAUUAGCUAGUUGGUGGGGUAACGGCUUACCAAGGCGACGAUCAGUAGUCGGCCUGAGAGGGUGACCGGCCACAUUGGGACUGAGACACGGCCCAAACUCCUACGGAAGGCAGCAG
rnacentral:rRNA from 1 species